AGAAUCAACGCUGGCGGCGUGCCUAACACAUGCAAGUCGAACGAGAAAGUGGAGCAAUCCAUGAGUACAGUGGCGCACGGGUGAGUAACACGUGACUAACCUACCCUGGAGUGGGGGAUAACUGAGGGAAACCUUAGCUAAUACCGCAUAAUACCUACGGGUCAAAGGAGCAAUUCGCUUUGGGAGGGGGUCGCGGCCGAUUAGUAGUUGGCGGGGUAAUGGCCCACCAAGACAGUGAUC
rnacentral:rRNA from 1 species